rnacentral:rRNA from 1 species
AGAGUUGAUCCUGGCUUAGGAUGAACGCUAGCUACAGGCUUAACACAUGCAAGUCGAGGGGCAGCAGGGCAAUAGCUUGCUAUUGUGCUGGCGACCGGCGCACGGGUGAGUAACGCGUAUCCAACCUACCCCGCGGUCAGGGACAGCCCGGCGAAAGUCGGAUUAAUACCUGAUGCAGUCAGAAGAGGGCAUCUGAUUUUGACGAAAGAUUCAUCGCCUCGGGAUGGGGAUGCGUAGGAUUAGGCAGGCGGCGGGGUAACGGCCCACCGCGCCGACGAUCCUUAGGGGUUCUGAGAGGAAGGUCCCCCACACUGGUACUGAGACACGGACCAGACUCCUACGGGAGGCAGCAGUGAGGAAUAUUGGUCAAUGGGCGCGAGCCUGAACCAGCCAAGUAGCGUGCAGGACGACGGCCCUAUGGGUUGUAAACUGCUUUUAUGCGGGGAUAAAGUGCGGCACGUGUGCCGUUUUGUAGGUACCGCAUGAAUAAGGGCCGGCUAAUUCCGUGCCAGCAGCGGC